GUGAAUCAUCAAAUCUUUGAACGCAAAUUGCACUCUCUGGUAUUCCGGAGAGUAUGCCUGUUUGAGGGUCAGUUUAAAUAAAAAUCGGUUUUUUUGCUGUCUUUCGUGGUUACGCACCGGAUCUGGGUCGUCUUGCCUUCGGUUAAGUGACCUAAAAUUUUGCAUGAUUUUUUUCGAACGCAUGUAAAUGAUUUUACGUACGUUUGCGAUAACUUAUUC
rnacentral:misc_RNA from 1 species